rnacentral:rRNA from 1 species
ACGGAGGUGGCGAGCGUUACUCGGUUUGACUGGGUGUAAAGGGUCCGCAGGCGGUCUAACAAGUAGAAAGUGAAAUCCUUCGGCUUAACCGGAGAACUGCUUUCUAAACUGUUAGACUAGAGGAUGGGAGAGGAGAACGGAACUGGCAGUGUAAGGGUGAAAUCUGUGGAUAUUGACAGGAACGUCAGUGGAGAAGGCAGUUCACUGGUCCAUACCUGACGCUCAUGGACGAAAGCUAGGGGAGCAAACAG